rnacentral:rRNA from 1 species
GACGAACGCUGGCGGCGCGCCUAACACAUGCAAGUCGAACGGAGUCAAGAGGAGCUUGCUUUUCUUGACUUAGUGGCGAACGGGUGAGUAACGCGUGAGUAACCUGCCCUGGAGUGGGGGACAACAGUUGGAAACGACUGCUAAUACCGCAUAAGCCCACGGAUCUGCAUGGAUCUGCGGGAAAAGGAUUUAUUCGCUCUAGGAUGGACUCGCGUCCAAUUAGCUAGUUGGUGAGGUAACGGCCCACCAAGGCGACGAUUGGUAGCCGGACUGAGAGGUUGAACGGCCACAUUGGGACUGAGACACGGCCCAGACUACUACGGGAGGCAGCAGUGGGGGAUAUUGCACAAUGGGGGAAACCCUGAUGCAGCGACGCCGCGUGGAGGAAGAAGGUUUUCGGAUUGUAAACUCCUGUCGUUAGGGACGAUAAUGACGGUACCUAACAAGAAAGCACCGGCUAACUACGU